AUCCAAAGUUUCUAGCUUUGCCG
rnacentral:snRNA from 1 species